CUUAGCAGCCAUAUCACCCUGCAGCCCAAGACUGGUUGCCCACUGAAGCUAAGCAGGGUAGAGCCUGGUCAGUACCUGGAUGGGAGACCUCCUGGGAAAACUAGGUUGCUGCUGGAA
rnacentral:rRNA from 1 species